rnacentral:lncRNA from 1 species
CUUCUGUAGGGCUAUAAUUUUUGCAACUGACACCAACAAGAAUUCAAUGAGGAACCUCUUUGUCACUGGUGUUUCCCUUUUCUUAGGACAAUGCCAAAGAUAGAGGAAUGCCAUGAUGAGCUAAGAUUAAAACCUUUAGAGCAGAUAGCAUGAAUGAAGAGUUCUACUCCCUACCUUUCAAUCUCAACCGCUUCUUUCCUCCAUCACAGAAAAUUCUAAGGUGAUCCUGAGUAGUUGGUGGUGGCUCAUUGUCGUGUCUAGGGCUCUGAUACGUGGGAUGGG